AGGAGGGAGACGGAGACAUGCACGGGGGGAGGGUGUCCCCGCGGCGCUCUUAUACCAGCCGCCCGGCCGCCCCGCGCGGCCGCUGGUGACUCACGGCGCGGCGCCGGGCCCCGGUUGGCUCGCCAGCGCCGCCCGCCCCCGUUUCCUCCUCCCGGGCACCUGCGGCCGCCGCGGCGCGCCCGCACACCGGCGCGGCUCGGCGCGGCUCGGCGCGAGUGAAGCCCUUUUUGAAUCGCAUCCUGCUGUGUCAUGACUCCGAUAAAGACAAACCAUACCACUGCACUAACUUCAGGGUGGAUUAUCUCUUGCAGUCCAUGUAACAAACAAGUGUCCAGGCCACCCAAACGGGCAAAUAGUUGACGUUAUCAGAGACUUGUUAAAGAAGUCAAGAUUUCGUGUCAUGUAACUGAGAUACACCUGGGAAUUAUAUUUCCGAUACGUGGUGUAAAUAUGAAGAGAGCAGUUCCUAGUGUUCGCCUCCCUACAGCCCCUCUACUUCAUGGCCUCAGGGGCAGCAGGAGAAAGACUUCUCUUUCCCAGCCUGCCUGGUAUGUGGCAUUAGAUGCUACAGCAUUGUUCUUGCAAACAUAUGCUGCUUCAAGCAAGAAAAACCUAUUGUGUACAAGGGGGUUCACUGGGGUCCUCAGGAAGAUGGCUUAGUGUAACUGGUACGCUGAAAACAUCGUUCUCCUUGCAGAUCUUCAGCAUGACAUGUUGCCUUCUGUCAGGUGCUCCCUGUUGCAUGGUCUGCCGUGCUUCAGCCUGAACAGCAUUUUCAGAAACAUCCUGUUAUCAUUACAUAAAUAUUUUAAAUGACAUACAAUGAGUACAGCAAUACACAAGAAGACACCAGUCAUGCAGAAAUACGGGGCUGGAUGUAACUUAGUGUAUGCCGGUAGCUGGUCAUCUUCCUUGUUUAUCUAUGGGAGAUACAGAUUUACAGGAGGGAGGAAAAGUAGUCUACCCCCCGCACUAUAUCUGUUCUGUGAGCACCUGCACCUGGCUUUCUGAUGGGAAAGCAACUUUCUCUCUUGGAUGUACCUAGCUCUUUGCUCACCUGAGGGUUUGGACUCCAAAGCAGAACUUGCUGUAAAAUAAUUUUUGGCAUUUCAACUAAGUUAAAAUGCAUGAGUAAGAAGGGGCACGAGUCUGAUCAUCCGCAGGCUCUGAUGGAAUCUCCAGAAAAGGAUGCCAGGCAGAAAAGGUCUUUUCCUUCCUUAGCACCAUCCUUAAAGGAACUCUGUUUAAGAAAAGUGCAAGUAGCCUGCCACCCCCUACAAGGAGAUCUGUGAGGUCCAUGUGAGUCAGGAGCGAUCUGCACUGAGGUUUCGUGCCAUUGCGGCAGCCAGAGUCUUGCAAAGGCUUCCUUCAUGUGUGAAUGGGAAGUUGUCUGGGGGGAUCUGCGGUGUGUGUAAUGAACUGUAGUGUCACUUUGUUCAUACACCCAGGAUACAAGCCAGAACAGAUCUAUACAGAACUGGAAUAAAAUUGCAGGUUUCUGUUGGAAGUAUGCACACUUAGGAGAUCAGCAGCCUUGCUGUGCUAGUGAUAAUGUAGGAGCAAAGCACCCAGGAGGGUCUAAGGUUUAGGAAGGGUGCUGAAUUUUGCAGGGAAUGUGAGCUGGCUUUUGUAACACUAAGUUCUUUCAUCAUCAGCCUGGGAAAUGCAUUAACAUUUACUUUGUUUCCAUGGGUGACCCUCAGUCUCCUUUGUUUUUUUGCCAUGUCUGUUUGAGUUGAACUUCUUCAGCUGUCAGGAAGUCAGGAAGCUGCAGAAAGAAGGUGGGUGAGCAAGUGGGCAACCUUAGGGAGCGCAGAGAGGGAGUGUGAAGGGAAAGCUGGCAUUACCACCUCAGUUAAGCAAGUUCCUGUAGUAAAGAACAAUCUCAAAGGGUGCUCAGCUCCUGUACUGCUCUCAGAACCAGCCCAGGUCCAUCUUCUGUUAUUAUUUGCAUUAAAAUAUAUUUGUAGUAAUGUUAUUAAAUAUGCACUGCAAAUAUAUACAGUGUGCUGACUACAGGGCUAACAUAUCCAAAACCACAACCACUUAAGCAUUACGCAGGAGUAGCUUCUAGCUAACCAGACUGGCUGAGACACCUGAGAAAAGCAUUCUUGAGCCAUGUUUCUAACAGCGGCUUCUUCUGUUGUACUGAGCAGACAGUACAACAGAAUUGGAUUCAGUGGAGUUUCACCGGAUAUGAAGGUUUGUUGCAGAUUCCUCAUUUGUGAUAAUAGGACAUGCCAUCUUAGUGGGGAUAUUCUACAGAACAAUCUGUGUGUGUGCAAAGAACUGUAAAAUGUCAAGUGGUAUAUGGUAUUAAAUAUUAUGCAUAAUAGUUUUAUGACUCCUAAUUCUUUUUAGAGCAGUCUUCAUCCUGUUUUCUGACCCAUAACUGGUGAAUAUUCUUGAAUGUCUAGUGAUACUCCUUUGAAAAAGCUGGAAAAGAUUGCCAAGAAGCUAAGUGAACCAGGUAGGCAUUGUCUUUGCCUUUAAAAAAAUUACCCAAGUAACAAGAAAUGGCAUCGUAUUACCUUUCCUUUCAGGAAUUGUGGAUAUUGGGGGCCCAGAGACUUUCCAUAUCAAUUCGCCUGAUAAUGCAUUUGGACUUAAAAUAGGUUUGGAUCCUUUGGGAUAAUUUAUUUAUCCUGUUGGUUAUAGAAUGUAAAGUCAACGUACAAGAGAAAAUGAAGAACAUAAGGGACCUCUGGAGUGCACGUAAUAUGAAUUCAGUGUGUUUUUUUGUUCCUCUCUCUUUUCACCUUAAAGACCCUAUAGUCUCCAUUUCUAAAUGAGUUCCUGAAGCACUGGGAUUACUAAUUCAUCCUCAGCUCUUAAAUCAAUGGCACUUUUGCCUGCAGCUCCUCUGGUGAAGGACAAGAAGUGAGGAUAUGUCUGCCAUAUGCAACCUAAUCCAAUAAAGAAAAGGAAAGCCUCAUGGGUAGAAAAAGCAGCAGCUACAUAUCAUGGGAUAGCAUCCUGCCUUAGGAUCAGUUACAAAAAUACUUUCUUCAUUGUGUGCUGCCAUCAAAGACAUUAACUGCUAUAAGACCGUUGCAUGCCUGAACCGACGGUAAUCGAAGGAGUUGUAUUCAAGGCUGCAUUUUGGAAGUGCAGAGCCAGGAUCUGUGUUACUGGCGUCAGAGGAAAUGUACAGAGCAUGAGAGAGACAGAAUGCAUCCUUUGGGAAUAAUUUGAAAUAGGUAUGUGCAUGAAUCCUUCUGAUCCAUGUGAUUGCGUGGCUGUAUUGAAGGGACACAUUGGCCCUUGGUUUUUUGUUUUGUUUUGGGUGUUGUUUUUUUUUUCCAAGGCUUAUCCGCAAACUAUGUGAAGGUACAUACAGUUGUUAAAAGUGCUACUCACAUCCAUGUUCUGUGUUUUGUCUGCAGCUUUAGGGGAAAAAAAGGAGAAACAAACAAACAACUUUGCACUAAUAAAGUACCUUUCCUGUGUUGUUCUCAGGAUACCUAACAAACAGUAAAUUAAGACUCACAAAAAAGUCCCUCCCUUGCCCUUCCCAUCAUCAUCAUCUGAGUUGUAAAAAAAUGAGGCAGAGAGAACUGAUGUCUUGCUGGUGAAGUUAAUAUAACGUUUUUGCAAUUUUUUUUUUUUAUCAUUAGUGUUGCAAGAAAAUGGAUAGUGCAUCUCUGAAGGAGGUUAGAGAAUACUCAUGUCUUUUGGAUGUAUUCUUCACAAUGGAAAAAACAUUGGACACAAUUCUUGACCUGCCAGCAUCAAUUGGAAUUUGCUGCUCUUUUCUGUGAGGACAGGAUUUCCUCCUCUGUGCUACAAAUUAGUCAAUUGUCUUUGUAUAGUCACUUACUAAUGGGUUUCCCCUGUUUGUGAGGACCUAGCAUGUGUGAUAUGAGCAGGAAUACAUUUUAUGUAGUGUUACAGUAUUGGAAGAUAUUACAAUAGUUAAAGUCAUGUUAGGAUCAGAACCUGGAAGUAUUUAAUUUGUUUUCAAAACCCAAAUCCAUGCUUCGUUGGUGGAACUGUGCUGUGCACACAGUGCAUAAAUAUGCAAAUGAGAGAGUUGUAAGUCAUGGAUUGGAAUCAAAACUUCCACUAUGCUUUUAUUUUCAGUAAUACAUGAUAAAACUUUAGUUGUGGUGGAAAAAGAGCUUCCAUUUCUGUCAGAUGUGGGACAGAAUGUGGCUUCAGAAUAGAGCCUUGCCCAUUUUGCAACUCUCUGGCUACUUCCACUUCUUUAUGUUUAUCUUUAGAAAUGAGAUACUCUUCAGAAUAUCAUACGCUCGCGUGACACCAAUUCUCUAACUUAGUAAUAAACCAAAUAUAAAUUGAUCUUGCUGAUACAGCAAGAUUUAUUUGCUGUAUACAUAGGCUGGAUGAGCUUUUCCUGUGAGACUUAAAUCGGUUAAUACAACCAUAUUAACUGUUUAUUAACCAUAUACUCCUCCAGAAGUACAUGUUUUUCAAGUUUUCCUGUGGAAAAAAGAGGAAUUUGAAUUUUGUUUGCUUUUUUUUUUUUUUUAAUGUACACCCAUGGUUAACAGUGUAUAUGUUUGUGGAAGUACACAAGCAUUUUGGGAAAUCUGACAUUUGUGUUCCAAAAACUCUGUAUACUAAGUGGAGCAGGAUAUCCAUAUUUGUGUUCUUUUGUGCAAAGGAUGAAAAAAUGGUGGUUUGUGAUGAAAUAAGGAAUAUGAUUAAACUAAACAGGUUAAAACUUCA